rnacentral:tRNA from 1 species
CCAGGAUAGUUUAACAAAACACUAGGUCGUGACCCUAAUAAUAGAACUUUACCCUUCUUCCUAGCU